rnacentral:rRNA from 1 species
GAUGAACGCUGGCGGCGUGCCUAAUACAUGCAAGUCGAGCGAACGGACGAGAAGCUUGCUUCUCUGAUGUUAGCGGCGGACGGGUGAGUAACACGUGGAUAACCUACCUAUAAGACUGGGAUAACUUCGGGAAACCGGAGCUAAUACCGGAUAAUAUUUUGAACCGCAUGGUUCAAAAGUGAAAGACGGUCUUGCUGUCACUUAUAGAUGUAUCCGCGCUGCAUUAGCUAUUUGGUAAGGUAACGGCUAACCAAGGCAACGAUGCAUAGCCGACCGGAGAGGGUGAUCGGCCACACUGGAACUGAGACACGGUCCAGACUCCUACGGGAGGCAGCAGUAGGGAAUCUUCCGCAAUGGGCGAAAUCCUGACGGAGCAACGCCGCGUGAGUGAUGAAGGUCUUCGGAUCGUAAAACCCUGUUAUUAGGGAAGAACAUAUGUGUAAGUAAAUGUGCACAUCGUGACGGUACCUAAUCAGAAAGCCACGGCUAACUACGUG